AGAACACACAGAUGGUGCGCCUGGGGGAACCCUAGCUUCAUGAAUCAAGCAAUUGAAUGCUUAAAUCAAAAGAAAAUCUGAUGCAUGAGCUCAAAUUUCGAAUAGCAAGUUCCAAUUUGUGAAGUGGCAAAGCAAUGUUGGAUUAAAGAAUGAUAUGAAUUUGUUGAUCGUUGAUGGGCGUGAAAGAAGAAGGUUCCAACACUAGGAAAUCGGAAGGCUCACAAGAUCGAGGUAAAUCCUCAACUUAAGCGAUUGGUCGACUUGGAACGAGCGCACUUGAUCUACGCCCAUCUCACGCUUCCGUUAUAGUUAAUUUAAUGUGGUCCUAGUUUUAGUCUUAUGAAUUUUUAACUUAUGUCGUCUUUUGAUGUCCUUGUAGUUGGGCAAAAACUUAAUAGUAGUAGUUUGUUUUAGUUUUGAACAAUGUUGAUAACGAGUUAACUCUAACCCGCACGUUACGGCGGAAUGUUAAUUAUUUAAAAAGUAAACCAAACUUAAAAAAUGUAUUCGUACAGGUCAUUGAUUUGUUAUUAUUAACUAAGAAAGCAUUUUCAAAAGAUAUAAUAUAUUGGUGGUUUCAAUCGGGCAAAAAAGCAUUGCGUAUCCUGGGAAACUGUAACUGCACCUAAGAUCGGGGUGGCCUAGGUAUUGUUCCACUAAAAGCCUCAAUGUGAAGAUGUUGUCUAGAUAGUGGUGGCGUUUUAAAACGGAAAAACAUACGCUGUGGUGGAGUUUAAUUUGGUCAAUACAUAAUCAUUCAAGAUCUUGAAGUUUUAUCACGGCUCGGAGGACGCCUGGAGAUGGGAUGAUCGAUCCUCUGAUCCUCUGUCAAACAUGUUAAAAACCUGUACUCAUGUGCAGUCCACACAGGAAACGAUUACUACUCCCCUUGGAACUCUUGGGUGCCAAAUUAUUUAUAUUGUUUUAAUUAGUAUUCGAUUUUAAGUUAAGAAAUAUAGGUCAAGUAUAGGUUACUUUCUUUGUAACUGAAUAAAAAGAAUUACGAUU
rnacentral:lncRNA from 1 species